rnacentral:rRNA from 1 species
AACGAACGCUGGCGGCAUGCCUAACACAUGCAAGUCGAACGAGACCUUCGGGUCUAGUGGCGCACGGGUGCGUAACGCGUGGGAAUCUGCCCUUGGGUUAGGAAUAACAGUUGGAAACGACUGCUAAUACAGGAUGAUGACGUAAGUCCAAAGACUUAUCGCCCAAGGAUGGGCCCGGGUAGGAUUAGCUAGUUGGUGAGGUAAAGGCGCACCAAGGCGACGAUGCUUAGCUGGUCUGAUAGGAUGAUCAGCUACACUUGGACUGCGACACGGCCCCGUCUGCUACGCGACGGUGCAGUAUGUUACACUGUGCACUGGAGGAAAGCGUGAUACAGCCGUGCCGCGUAUGUGAUGAAUGCCUUUGUGUUGUAAAGCUCUUUGUCCCGGAAUGUGAAUGACGGUACCGGGUGAAUAAGCACCGGCUAACUACGUG